GAAAGGCGCUUUUGCGUCACUGAUGGAUGGACCCGCGGUGCAUUAGCUAGUUGGUGAGGUAACGGCUCACCAAGGCCACGAUGCAUAGCCGACCUGAGAGGGUGAUCGGCCACACUGGGACUGAGACACGGCCCAGACUCCUACGGGAGGCAGCAGUAGGGAAUCUUCGGCAAUGGACGAAAGUCUGACCGAGCAACGCCGCGUGAGUGAAGAAGGUUUUCGGAUCGUAAAACUCUGUUGUUAGAGAAGAACAAGGAUGAGAGUAGAACGUUCAUCCCUUGACGGUAUCUAACCAGAAAGCCACGGCUAACUACGUGCCAGCAGCCGCGGUAAUACGUGGGUGGCAAGCGUUGUCCGGAUUUAUUGGGCGUAAAGCGAGCGCAGGCGGUUUCUUAAGUCUGAUGUGAAAGCCCCCGGCCCAACCGGGGAGGGUCAUUGGAAACUGGGAGACUUGAGUGCAGAAGAGGAGAGUGGAAUUCCAUGUGUAGCGGUGAAAUGCGUAGAUAUAUGGAGGAACACCAGUGGCGAAGGCGGCUCUCUGGUCUGUAACUGACGCUGAGGCUCGAAAGCGUGGGGAGCGAACAGGAUUAGAUACCCUGGUAGUCCACGCCGUAAACGAUGAGUGCUAAGUGUUGGAGGGUUUCCGCCCUUCA
rnacentral:rRNA from 1 species